CAUGAUUACCUUUUCAACAAACUGUGAACUAUAUUUUACUAUUCGUGUGUUGUUUUACUUUCGAGUAUUUCAAUCACACUGUCAUUCGAUGAACAUUAGAUAGCUGGCUCGUAUUGUAUUUUACAUUACCUUCUCAGCUGAUUGUUUGUAUUGACUAAACAUCUUACAACAAUCACCAUAAAAACAUAGAAA
rnacentral:misc_RNA from 1 species